GUUUCUAAAUAAAAUUUGAUAAAAUAUUUAAUAAUAAGUGUUAAAAAAAGAAUAUUAUUUUAUAAAAACUUUUAAAAAACUGAUAACAAGUGAAAAAAAAAUUUAUUGAAAAAAAAGUUUACCUAGAAACGAUGAAAUGAAAUGUAGAAAUGAAAUAUAUUUCCCUUUAUAGGGUAAGGAUAUGGUCAACAAAAAAUUUGUGAAGAUGUUCCGAUGCCGUUCAAUUCAGAUGAAUGAGUACGUGAAGCUCAAUUAAUGAAUAAGGAAAAAGUACGACAACAUACCAUCUUCUUCAGUGAGUAAUAACUAUCUUAUUAAUCAAAAUUUCUUAAAAAUUAUACUGUUUUAGAAUGAAUAAAUUUAUGUGUAUGUAUGUAUUUAUAAUCAUUGUUAUUAAUAUCCCCUCUAUUAUGUAUAUCGGUAUCGGCCGAUAAACGAUAAUUUAUCGGCAAAAUUUUGUGUUUGUAUUACCAACAUUGUUUAUCGGUAAAUUUUAUCGGAGUCGGGAAAGCUUUUUUUCCCUGUAUAGGAAACGUAUUAGCUGGUAUUAUGAAAACGAUAAAUUGUCGGGUUUUCACCGAUUUAAAAGCGGGUACAAAUUUUUAGACGACAGAUUUUUUUUUUGUAAAAUCUUCAUUUUAUCAAGGAAACUGGUGUAAUUAAUUGCUUUUUUAAAAUGUAAGCAUUUUUUCUAAAUUAUUUUCUUUCAAAAUGUUAUUCAUAUAUUUUAUUUAGGAGUAAAAUCGUAAGCAACAAAAAACAAAUUGCGCGGUUAGUAGAAAAAAUGGAAGAGGACUUAAACCUGGCAAGGAAUGAUAAUCUGAAAUUCUGGAUAAACCUAAAAAAUGUGUACAUAUUAUAUAAAUAAUAAAAUAAAAUAGGUACAUAAACAUACAUUUUGUUGUCUAAAUCCAAUGGAUUAGUUGAAUCUCUUAUAUGUCGUCUUUGAAUAGCUUGCGUUUCUUCACUUUCAAAAUAUAAUGCACGUGACAUUUUCCCGAUAUAUGUAUACUUUUAUUUUACAAAUUUAACAGAAAAUAAUUUUCUUACUACAACUUUUUAGCACAUCAAAACCAAAUUCAAAAUAGUUUUAAAAAUUUUUUGAAAAUAACUUUUGAAAGAAAACAAAUGUCAUUAGAAAAAAAAACAUUUUCUCCAAUUUACAAAAACAAAAAUUUGUAUGAAAAAGCUUCUUUUAAUCGGUUGAAAUAUUUUUAUCGGUAUCGGUUCAUAAUACAGAAGAAACCCAAAACCGAUGAGAACUGCCGAUAAUAUAUCGGCCGAUACCGAUGUUCAUAAUAGAGGGGUGUUUAGAGUUGUUCAGUAAAAUUGUCAAACAAAACUGAUAAUAUAAGAAAUUUUUUAACAAAAUAUGUUCAUUUUUGAAGGUCAUAAAAUAUUGGUAUUAAAAUACUUAUAUUUGCAAUUUUUAAAAUAAAUUUAUUCAAAGAGAAAAAAAAAUAAUGAGUUUUGUUUAAUUUUGUUUUCUAAAAUGAAAAAAUAUUUUGAAAUACUUUUUAGUUUUUACUUUGAAAAAAGUGUUUAACUUAUCCUUCUUGCAUAUUACACAUAUUUUAUAGUAGAGGCCAGAGAAUCCGAGCAAAGAAAGACAAUUAGAAAAAAUUUGACUUCAUUGUUUUUUUCAAGAUGCUCCUUCCUUUAGUGUUUCUAAUUCGUUGAUUAAAAACAUUAAACACGAAUUCAAACUAUCUCCUUAAAAUUAACAGACUACUGCCAAUUUUCUACACCAAAACUCAGCUUUUUGAAAGAGAAAUAAAAAAACUGCACCCAAAAUGAAAAAAUGCCAAUUUCGAAAUCGACAGAAAAUUAUAUAAAAUUUGACAUUUAAAAAUUCGCACAUAUUCACAAGAUGCUCCUUAUUCUGUUACUUAUUAAGAUGAAGCAUAAUACAUAAUUAGUAUUACGAAAAAAAAUCUAUAAUACUCAUAGAUAAGUUUUAUUACUUAGUCAAUAUG